AGUGAACGCUGGCGGCAGGCCUAACACAUGCAAGUCGAGCGGCAGCGCGGGGCAACCCUGGCGGCGAGCGGCGGACGGGUGAGGAAUUCGUCGGAAUCUGCCUUUUUGUGGGGGAUAACGUAGGGAAACUUACGCUAAUACCGCAUACGUCCUACGGGAGAAAGUGGGGGACCGCAAGGCCUCACGCAGAAAGAUGAGCCGACGACCGAUUAGCUAGUUGGUGGGGUAAAGGCCCACCAAGGCGACGAUCGGUAGCUGGUCUGAGAGGAUGAUCAGCCACACUGGGACUGAGACACGGCCCAGACUCCUACGGGAGGCAGCAGUGGGGAAUAUUGGACAAUGGGCGCAAGCCUGAUCCAGCCAUGCCGCGUGUGUGAAGAAGGCCUUCGGGUUGUAAAGCACUUUUGUCCGGAAAGAAAUCCCUGGAGCUAAUACCUUCGGGGGAUGACGGUACCGGAAGAAUAAGCACCGGCUAACUUCGUG
rnacentral:rRNA from 1 species